CAAUAACCCUUAACCCCUGGUGACCUUUUUGUGCCCAUUAAAAUUAUUUAUCGCCGGCGUGUGUAGCUUGUUUGUGUGUUCAGCAGAUGCUGACAUUAAGUGGAAAGUCAAAGGUAACAUAGCAACAAGGGCAGAUUACAGACUUUUUUUUUUUACCCCCCGCCGCCGUAUGUCUUAUUUUCGUUCUAUUUAUACUUGACGGUGUUUGUAUGUGUUGACAUGGAUCAUCUGUUAGGUGUCUGUGUGUGGGGGAGGGGUUUUAGGCUCCGCCCCUUUUUUCUGCCGUUAUAUAAGAGCUGUUUAGCCACACAUUCCUUUCCUCACUUCUGUUUUUCGAAGACUACACAGCCCUGAUGCCUCAGUUUGAGAAGAAAACGGUGCAUAUGAGGGACCCCGAGAGGGUGGAGCAGAUUAUCUGCGGCCUUAUCAAGGGUGGAGCCUCCAAACUUCAGAUCAUCACCGACUUCGACAUGACGCUAAGCAAAUUUGCCAUCAACGGCAAACGAUGUCCGUCGUGCCACUACAUCAUGGAAAACUGCCACCUGGUGUCGGAGGAGUGUCGUCAGAAGCUGCUGCAGCUCAAGAACAAGUACUAUCCCAUUGAGAUAGACCCAAAUCUCACCAUGGAGGAGAAGUACCCUUUUAUGGUGGAGUGGUAUUUUAAGUCCCAUUCACUUCUAGUGGAACAAAGGAUAGAAAAGGACAAAGUGCCACAAGUGGUGCGAGAGUCCGACGCCGCACUUCGAGAAGGCUUCGAACAGUUUUUCGACCGUCUGCACGAGCACGACGUACCCGUGUUCAUCUUCUCGGCAGGCCUGGGUGACGUCCUGGAGGAGAUCAUCCGGCAGGCGGGCGUCUACCACCCCAACAUUAAGGUGGUGUCCAACUUCAUGGACUUUGACGACAAAGGAGUCCUCCGGGGCUUCAAAGGCGAGCUGAUCCACGUGUACAACAAGCACGACGGUGCUCUGCGGAACACCGACUACUUCAAGCAGUUGAAGGAGAACUGCAACAUCAUACUGAUGGGAGACUCGCUUGGCGACCUCAGCAUGGCCGACGGCGUGCCCAACGUGGAGAACAUCCUCAAGGUCGGCUUCCUUAACGACAAGGUGGAGGAACGUCUGGACAAAUAUUUGGACUCUUACGACAUCGUCCUGGUCAAGGACGAGACCUUGGAAGUGCCCAACGCCAUCCUCCAGAAAGUUCUAUAACUCCCUCCUCGGACCACCUUCUUCCAACAAAGCCUUUGUACAUUUCCCUAACGGACACUUUUAAAGCGUACUCUUCAAAUUGUUUUAUAUUUUUGUUUGUUUGCGUGACCUACUCUCACUCCAUUUUGAGAAAACAAGUCAAGAACUACACUCGAUACCAAGAUCGUACACGAACAGUACGCACCGAGAUUUCGGACAUUUGAAAUAAUCUAAAGAAAACUAAAAUGAAUUGGAGGAAAUGCACUUUAAAAUAGGUGUGAAAAUCCAUAGAAUGAAUGGAAAAGCCAUGUUUACUUCACUUACCGUUGGAAUUUUGAAACCCACGCCGCUUAGAAGAAGCACUUUAUUCUACAUCUUUUUGUUGGCUUAAAAAAAUUGAAUAUUUUUUUUAAAAGCACCAAAGUUUAACCUGUUUUGUUUUGUUUCCAAUGCAUUGGCUGCCAUUGACGUGAAUAGACGUCUAAUUACGUAGCUCUUACAAACGAAAUUUUCCAAUGAAUUGGACGUCCGUCGCCGUCAAAUUGCAAAAAUUUCUACAUCUUUAUGUUGUUUUACAUGUGCUGCUAUCACCUGCAUGUUGCCUUUUCUCAAGAAAUAGAAGGAAGCAAAUCUAUUUACAAAGUUAUGAAACAGGGGAAAAUGUCAUACUGUAUUUGUGGACCUUGUGUGGAAAUAAUUAGAGUUAUGUGUUGUAUUUUUAUAAGCAGAUUAUGUUUUUGGUGUGGAAAAAAUACAAUGUUAUGAUGACGUUACACGAGUGUUCAUUUGUUGUUGUUUUUUGUAGUUCACUGAAUGGCCGUUAGUCGGCAGUAAAACGCAAAAACUGUAAAGUACUUCCAGAUGAGUGGGAAAAUGCAUAUGUGGCAGAUGGAAGGAGUUGGAGAAAAAAUAGAAUGAAUAUGGAAUCGAAGGAGGAAUGUGGCUCGUUGGUCUAGGGGUAUGAUUCUCGCUUAGGGUGCGAGAGGUCCCGGGUUCAAAUCCCGGACGAGCCCUACUUUUGGUUGUCUGAUUAAUAGUUAUUUAAACGUAUAUAAGCAGUAGAAAUCUAAUAUUUUAAGAUGUAAGCACACACAUCACAACAUUUUUCACCUGAUUUUGAGGAGCAGCUGAAACUGAGUACUGAUCCGAUACCAUGGCAAUUUAUUACUAAACAUUGCCUACAUUUUUUUUCUUGUUUUUUUUUGGGAGCUGUUCAGCUUUUGAGAGCAGGGGUGCUCAAAUCCAGUCCUCAAGAGCACCAAUCAAGCUUGUUUUCUAUGUUUCCCUUCUUUAACACACCUGAUUCGAACUUGGUAACGAUUCGGACAGGGGUUAAUUUGUGUCAGAUCCUGCCGGAACAAGAUCCGGCACCUCCUGAUUUUGGCCUCCCUGUGUUCCGGGACUUAUUUGGGACGAUCCGACACCUCUCUUGUGAAAUUUAGAAAAACAAAAACUUUGGAAAUUUGUGGCAUCUAGGGAGCAAGAAACCAGGAUCAAACGGUAUUUCAACAUGCCAAAAAGACAGUUGCAUUUACUGUCUUUAAAAAAUAAACGAAGAAAGAUGGUUCAAAACUAGUCAGAAAAGGAGCUAGCGCUGCAGCAGCUAGCCAGGUUUACUGACAGCCAGCCGAGCCAGGGCAGUAGGGUGCUACCGUGGCAGCAACUGGCCAGGUUCAGCACCACCUGGUGUGGAGGCCAGCUACAGCGUCAGCAGUUAGCCAGGUGGAUCACCAACAGGUGGAGCAAAAGGCUAGUACCCUUAUGGGAAAUUCGGGCUUUGGCUGCACAAACUUUUUGCAAAGGGGGCCAGAUUUGGUGUGGUAACGAUGUGGGGGGCCGACCUUGGCUGACAUCCUUUACGUAGAACAAUAUAUCAA